rnacentral:lncRNA from 1 species
ACAGCAGGAUCACAUGGGCAGAGGCUACUCACACCCUGGUGGGCAGGAGGCAAGUCAACGGCUAACAGAUACAGCCUUCAAAAUGAUUCCUCAGCUAGCCCUCUACCUUCUAAACACAUCAGCAGCUGCUAAAGACCAAAGUGUCUAACUGUGGGCUCAUAAGGGACAUCUCGGAUUUAAACUGCAGCACUGUAUAAAACAGUGAAAUGCAGAUACGUUCUACAUCACAAAGGAAUCUCAAGAGCACUUGCUGUGUCAGUGAAUCAGGACAGGAAGAGGCCCGGUGCCACUCUUGUGAAAUGUCCUGGACUGUUAAAGCCAUGGAACUGGUACAAGAAGCAGUGAGGAUCAACUCUUUGAUGGUUCUAUAAUUUUAUUUGGAGGUGGUGAAAAUAUUUUGGAACUAAAUAGAACACUGUUUGACAAUGUUGUGAAUAUGCUAAUUGCCUGUCGCUUGUUCUCUUUAAAAUAGUUAAAUCCAUGUGAAUUUCCUGCCAACUGGGAUGUCUUCAAUUCAUAAUAUCCCCAUGAAUCCUCAAAACAUCACAAGGCUUCUCAUUGUCACUGUAUGUCUUCAGAGGCGACUCUUGGCGUCAAAGGGUUGUAGGAGCUAAUGCAUGAUGGGAGAUUAAAAUAAAUCUAUCGAAGCAAACGAGAUAAUGCAUGCGUUGAACUCCUUGAGACUCGAGGAAAAACUUAACUGUAUUCUGCUUUUCUCGUACUGGCGGACUCUCAUUGCACUGAGCCAGAAGAAAGUAAAACAGAAAGCAAGGAACAGGCCACGGAGGUCAGAGUCCUUUUUGAAGUCGCUCCAUCUCAGCGUUGCCGGCACUUUCCACGCAUGGUGGGUGUGUGGCAGAGAGGAACUGGAUAAUUAAAAGAUU